UACGUAGGGUGCAAGCGUUGUCCGGAAUUAUUGGGCGUAAAGAGCUCGUAGGCGGCUUGUCGCGUCGGCUGUGAAAACCUGGGGCUCAACCCCGGGCCUGCAGCCGAUACGGGCAGGCUAGAAUUCGGUAGGGGAGACUGGAACUCCUGGUGUAGCGGUGAAAUGCGCAGAUAUCAGGAAGAACACCGGUGGCGAAGGCGGGUCUCUGGGCCGAUAUUGACGCUGAGGAGCGAAAGCGUGGGGAGCGAACAGG
rnacentral:rRNA from 1 species